UGUCUAGUGCUACACCCAACA
rnacentral:misc_RNA from 1 species